rnacentral:sRNA from 1 species
UAUGAGAUUGCUGGAUUCCCACGGGUUG